AAGAUCUGAUCCAGAGUACCACGAGACACGUGAAACCUUGUGGGAAGCAGGGAGGACCACCUCCCAAGGCUAAAUACUACUUGAUGACCGAUAGUGAAGAAGUACCGUGAGGGAAAGGUGAAAAGAACCCCGGAAGGGGAGUGAAAUAGAACCUGAAACCGUGUGCCUACAACCGGUCAAAGCACCUUAUGUGUGUGAUGACGUGCUUUUUGUAGAACGAGCCAACGAGUUACGAUAUGUAGCGAGGUUAAGUACUUAAGGUACGGAGCCGAAGGGAAACCGAGUCUUAAUAGGGCAAAUAGUUGCAUGUCGUAGACCCGAAACCGGGUGACCUAUCCAUGGCCAGGUUGAAGCAGAAGUAAAAUUCUGUGGAGGACCGAACCAAAUUGGUGUUGAAAAACCAUGGGAUGAGCUGUGGAUAGCGGAGAAAUUCCAAUCGAACCCGGAGAUAGCUGGUUCUCCUCGAAAUAGCUUUAGGGCUAGCGUCGGAUAUGAGUAGUGGAGGUAGAGCACUGAAUGGGCUAGGGGCCGUAUAGGUUACCAAACUCUAUCAAACUCCGAAUGCCACAUACUAUUAGUCCGGCAGUCAGACUGCGAGUGAUAAGGCCCGUAGUCAAAAGGGAAACAGCCCAGACCAUCAGCUAAGGUCCCAAAGUAUAGAUUAAGUGGAAAAGGAUGUGGGAUUUCAAAGACAACUAGGAUGUUGGCUUAGAAGCAGCCACUCAUUAAAAGAGUGCGUAAUAGCUCACUAGUCGAGAGAUCCCGCGCCGAAGAUGUUCGGGGCUAAAAUCUAUCACCGAAGCUAUGGGUGUACAUUUAUGUACGCGGUAGAGGAGCGUCCUGUACUGGCUGAAGUCGUACCGAAAGGAGCGGUGGACGGUACAGGAGUGAGAAUGUUGGCAUAAGUAGCGAGAACUAGGUGAGAAUCCUAGUGGUCGAAAAUCUAAGGUUUCCUGGGGAAGGUUCGUCCGCCCAGGGUUAGUCGGGACCUAAGCCGAGGCCGAAAGGCGUAGGCGAUGGACAAUCGGUUGAUAUUCCGAUACCACUAUGUAGCGUUAUUACCAAUGGGGUGACGCAGGAGGAUAAGAUGUGCUAGCUAUUGGAUGCUAGUCUAAGCACUUAGGGAGUCUG
rnacentral:rRNA from 1 species